rnacentral:rRNA from 1 species
UACGGAGGGUGCGAGCGUUGUCCGGAUUUAUUGGGUUUAAAGGGUGCGCAGGUGGCCCGGUCAGUCAGUGGUGACAUGCGGCCGCUCAACUGUCGAACUGCCAUUGAUACUGCCUGGCUUGAGAGGAGUGGAGGCCGCCGGAACGGUCGGUGUAGCGGUGAAAUGCAUAGAUAUCGUACAGAACGCCGAUUGCGAAGGCAGGUGGCUACGCUUCGGCUGACACUGAGGCACGAAAGCGUGGGGAGCGAACAGG